CAAGUGGGGCGGGAUAUCCCGCCACGCAGCUGGUCCGCCCCGCGAAGAAAUCCCGCGCGGCGCCGCUAAAUAACCCGCACCUCUACUCGCGGGACAAAGCGGUCAGGCCGCGUGGUCCGCUAGAUAACCGCAAAACUGCAUAAGCCGCAAAACGGCCCCCAGUCGCGGACGCUCCCCAGUCCCCAACCUCGUUGACCAAGGGAGAUUCGACGACGCCUCUGCCCCUCCGCCGAUGCCUCGACCUCCUCUUCCCAGCGCCCUCCCUCCGCAAGCCCCCUCUCGCAAUUCCUGAUGGAGGGGUCGACGGCGGCGUCGCCGCCAUCUCCACAUCGGGACCUACAUCCGCUCGCUCUUCUGCAAGACCUACAUCCUCCCUGCGCCCUUCUCUCUCCUCGAAGAACAAAGGAUCUCCGCCAUUUGUAGAAAUCGCUGCGGCUGCAAAUGAUCGUCUCCAAGAUAUCAGAGGUUCUGAAUCAUAUGAAGGACUUAAUUGAGUUCAGCCCCAACAACGCAGAGCAUGCAUGAUGCUAAGGGGUUGAUCAAAACGGAAGCAAGUACCCAUAAUUAGCAUGAUUACUGGACAGUGUUAUGCAAACAUGCUUUGUUUCAAUCGACCUCUAUUGUAUUGUCCACAAUUCCAGAAUUGCUAAGAUUGCAUGGUACUUGAUUCC